rfam:Euryarchaeota archaeon RBG_16_67_27 RBG_16_scaffold_2009, whole genome shotgun sequence.
AGCCCCGUGGUGUAGCGGUCAAGCAUACGGGUCUUUGGAACCCGCGACGGCAGUUCGAAUCUGCCCGGGGCUA